GUGACUAAUGUUCAACGGCCGCGGUAUCCUAACCGUGCGAAGGUAGCGUAAUCACUUGUUCUUUAAAUGUGGACUAGUAUGAACGGCACCACGAGGGUUAUACUGUCUCCUUUCUCCAAUCAGUGAAACUAAUCUCCCCGUGAAGAAGCGGGGAUAUACUUAUAAGACGAGAAGACCCUAUGGAGCUUUAAAGUUAUCUUCAAACGCCAAACCUCUUCCAAGUCAUAGACUCCUUCACGAAACCACGCGCCAUGAAGACAACUUUUAGGUUGGGGUGACCAUGGAGUAUAAAACAACCUCCACGCUGAACAGGCCUCUAAACCUUUAGCCAAGGGCCACAGCCCGCCGCACUAAAAAAUUAACACACAUUGAUCCAAUGAAUUUUGAUCAACGAACCAAGUUACCCUAGGGAUAACAGCGCAAUCUACUUCAAGAGUUCCUAUCGACAAGUGGGUUUACGACCUCGAUGUUGGAUCAGGGUGUCCCAGUGGUGCAGCCGCUACUAAUGGUUCGUUUGUUCAACGAUUAAAACCCUACGUGA
rnacentral:rRNA from 1 species